AUCCAGUUGACGAGUGCCAAAUAGGACGAAGUUGUCAGCGUCCUGGAU
rnacentral:hammerhead_ribozyme from 1 species